rnacentral:rRNA from 1 species
UCGAGGGGCAGCAUUGGAGUAGCAAUACUCAGAUGGCGACCGGCGCACGGGUGAGUAACACGUAUCCAACCUGCCGCUUACUCGGGGAUAGCCUUUCGAAAGAAAGAUUAAUACCCGAUGGUAUAAAGAGUUCGCAUGUUCUCUUUAUUAAAGAAUUUCGGUAAGCGAUGGGGAUGCGUUCCAUUAGAUAGUUGGCGGGGUAACGCCCACCAAGUCUACGAUGGAUAGGGGUUCUGAGAGGAAGGUCCCCCACAUUGGAACUGAGACACGGUCCAAACUCCUACGGGAGGCAGCAGUGAGGAAUAUUGGUCAAUGGGCGAGAGCCUGAACCAGCCAAGUAGCGUGAAGGAUAGAAGGUCCUAUAGAUUGUAAACUUCUUUUAUAGUAGAAUAAAGUGAUCCACGUGUGGAUUUUUGUAUGUAUACUAUGAAUAAGGAUCGGCUAACUCCGUGCCAGCCGCUGC